rnacentral:rRNA from 1 species
GACGGGGGCCCGCACAAGCGGUGGAGUAUGCGGUUUAAUUCGAUGAUACGCGAGAAACCUUACCUGGUCUUGACAUGUAGAGAAGUUCUAGAGAUAGAAUGUGCCUGCUUGCAGGAGCUCUAACACAGGUGGUGCAUGGUUGUCGUCAGCUCGUGUCGUGAGAUGUUGGGUUAAGUCCCGCAACGAGCGCAACCCUUGUUGCUAGUUACCAGCACGUAAUGGUGGGGACUCUAGCGGGACUGCCGGUGUUAAACCGGAGGAAGGUGGGGAUGACGUCAAGUCCUCAUGGCCUUUAUGACCAGGGCUACACACGUACUACAAUGGCCGAUACAAAGGGCAGCGACACUGCGAGGUGAAGCCAAUCCCGUAAAAUCGGUCUCAGUCCGGAUUGGAGUCUGCAACUCGACUCCAUGAAGUUGGAAUCGCUAGUAAUCGUGGAUCAGCAUGCCACGGUGAAUACGUUCCCGGGCCUU